AGUGAACGCUGGCGGUAGGCCUAACACAUGCAAGUCGAACGGCAGCACAGUAAGAGCUUGCUCUUACGGGUGGCGAGUGGCGGACGGGUGAGGAAUACAUCGGAAUCUACUUUUUCGUGGGGGAUAACGUAGGGAAACUUACGCUAAUACCGCAUACGACCUACGGGUGAAAGCAGGGGAUCUUCGGACCUUGCGCGAUUGAAUGAGCCGAUGUCGGAUUAGCUAGUUGGCGGGGUAAAGGCCCACCAAGGCGACGAUCCGUAGCUGGUCUGAGAGGAUGAUGAGACACACUGGAACUGAGACACGGUCCAGACUCCUACGGGAGGCAGCAGUGGGGAAUAUUGGACAAUGGGCGCAAGCCUGAUCCAGCAAUACCGCGUGGGUGAAGAAGGCCUUCGGGUUGUAAAGCCCUUUUGUUGGGAAAGAAAAGCAGCAGGUUAAUACCCCGCUGUUCUGACGGUACCCAAAGAAUAAGCACCGGCUAACUUCGUG
rnacentral:rRNA from 1 species